AAGUCGUAACAAGGUUUCCGUAGGUGAACCUGCGGAAGGAUCAUUAGCGAAGUUCGGAAUGCAUGUUCGGUGUUGAUGCUGCCCAGCAAUGGGAUGUGCUCGCUCGGAUGUGUGUCCCUUCUCUAUCCACCCCACUGUGAACCAAGUGUGUGAGCCGAAGAGAAAUCGGACGCUCGCAUGCAAACCUUUAACAUACCCCAAUGAAGUAUCAGAAUGUACCUUGCGUUAACUCGCACAAAUAUAACUUUCAACAACGGAUCUCUUGGCUCUC
rnacentral:misc_RNA from 1 species